rnacentral:rRNA from 1 species
ACGAACGCUGGCGGCGUGCUUAACACAUGCAAGUCGAGCGGAAAGGCCCUUUCGGGGGUACUCGAGCGGCGAACGGGUGAGUAACACGUGAGUAAUCUGCCCUUCACUCUGGGAUAGCUUCGGGAAACCGAAAUUAAUACCGGAUAUGACCGCGGACCGCAUGGUCUUGUGGUGGAAACUUUUUGGGUGGGGGAUGUGCUCGCGGCCUAUCAGCUUGUUGGUGGGGUAAUGGCCUACCAAGGCUUCGACGGGUAGCCGGCCUGGGAGGGUGACCGGCCACACUGGGACUGAGACACGGCCCAGACUCCUACGGGAGGCAGCAGUGGGGAAUAGUGGACAAUGGGCGGAAGCCUGAUCCAGCAACGCCGCGUGAGGGAUGACGGCCUUCGGGUUGUAAACCUCUUUCAGCACCGACGAAGCGAAAGUGACGGUAGGUGCAGAAGAAGGACCGGCCAACUACGU